GGGGAUUUAGCUCAGCGGCAUAAGCGCCUGCCUUGCAAGCAGGCAGUUCUGAGUUCGAUCUCUGGUUCCCA
rnacentral:tRNA from 1 species